AGGAUAAUAGUUAAUUAUAACAUUUGAUUUGCAUUCAAAAAGUAUUGAUCCUUCAAUUUAUCUU
rnacentral:tRNA from 1 species